rnacentral:lncRNA from 1 species
AUUUUCGACAAGAGUUUUCUCUCUCAUCGAGACGAGGUCUCUUGUGCCUUUGAUGUAGUUCAUUUUUCACCUAUCGUCGAUGUAGUUCGUUAUUUUUUUUUCAUCUCUCCUUUUCUUCUGUGUUCGAGUGAGGGUCUUCCCUCUGCUCUUGACGGGAUCGUGAGAGUAUAGAGGAGUCAUUGAGGAAGCUUUCCUCCUUGUCGAUCAAUCGAGUCUUUGUUUGCGUCGGGAU